CUUGAUCCAUAGAGGCCGUUUAAGAUUGUCCUGAUAUCAAUGUUAGCCAUACCUCAUCUAAAGGUAUAGCGAUCUUUGUUCUUUAGUAAGUAUGACCACUCUUCGUUACCGUAUCUAUGAAAAAGAGAGAUUUGUCCAGUAAUGGUUGUUAAAUCAAAAAAGAUUCUCACCCAUUUUCAGAUUCUGGGUAGUUUCAACAAUCAUUCAUACCUCGUUUGCGUGUGAUCUUAAACGCCAUCUUGAAUGUGCAAAAAAAAAGAACGGUGGAGAAUCAUAUAACGGAUAACUUCACUCCUUUCUCCAUUAGACUGGCAUGGCGGCACCGCUCAGAACCACCAUGGAAACAAUCCGGUCUGGUCUGUUACUGUAACCAACCGUUUCAUCGAAAAGCCCAACAGCAUCUACUCCUUACCUUGUGAUACCAAUCAUCAUUGAAGUCUAAGAUACAAGAUUCCUCUUCUCUGCAAUUUCGAAGAGAUUGCAUUAGCAUACAUGUAGAUUAAUGCAUUAGCUAACUCAAUGUUCUUAUUAAACCCUCUUAGAGAAAGCAGCUACACUAAGCUUGUGAAAGUGUAAUAACUUGGCACAGAGCCUUGUGAUUUAAACCUCUGAAACAGAAGCAGAGCUUUGCUGCUGUCUGAUCGCUCAGGUUCCGAUAUCAAAGUGAUCCGUGUGAUCAAAUUUCUAUCUUCCAUCUUGUGGAAAUAGCUUUUUAUCCGCACCUGCAAUACAAGUCCCAAAAUAGAGCUCAUUUCCAGGAGGUACUUAGAGUGUUAUCCCAAAAAAUCAAACAAGUAGCGUAGAGAUUUAUUAGCGCAUUGUCAAUAUAACAAAAACCUUCAGGUUUCUACAAGACAGUGAGUUUGGCACGAGAGUGUGAAUUCAUUCGGGUCAGUUCCUUUCCUCAUAAAGUCGCUUAAACACUACCAAGCACGUGAGUUAUGAAUGGAAGAAGUGUACCUUUUGAUCAAUGCGGUCCAAGCCACUACGUCUCUCUAAGUCAUGUAGUCCAACAGUGAGCGUGAUUCUUUCACUUAGCGUUUUUUCAAAGUACGAAAGAAUGAGAUUUGGGGACAAAAUGUGACGCUUCUUGGGUCUAUAAGGAGAGUCAGAGUUUUGAUUCGACUCUUCGCAGGCGUUACAUAGAGAGCUUCUGACAAAUUUUGGGAUUGGUUUAAAUGGUUUAUUGUUUUUAACAUAAGAGCAUCUCAGCUUAAUCUAUUUCUUACCCUAAAUCUUCAAUGGCUUACUCUAUUUUUUACUCUAAAAUAGAAUAAUUUUAUAAUAGAAUUUGAAUUUACUACAAUGAUAGUUUAUUUUAGAGUAGAAAAUAGAGUGAUAAGAAAAUAAAUAAUAAGUUACUCUAUAUUUAGAUAGUAAACCAAUUUUUCAACUUUAUUAUAGAAUGAAAAAAUAAAGUACUAUGGUAGCAUUUUUACUUGAAAUAUUUUAGAAUAAAAAAUAGAGUGGAGUUGGAGAUGCCCUAAGUGGAUUUUCGUAGUCCAUCUCUAAUAAGUUUCUUCGGUUCAUCAUCAGAGACGAAAUCGAUCUCGAUUUAGAAAGAAUGGGUUCAACUGGUUAGAAAGAGUAUGUUCAUCUGGUUAGAAAUUUCUAACCAAAGGAAUUCAACUAGGUAGAAAUAUAUUAACAACUAAUACUGAACAACUGGUUAAGACGGCGUUUUAUCUUAAAAGUUUUUCAUAUGAUGAGGAAAGAUUACAAUAAUCAAUUGUAGCACACUAACCAAAGAAAUUCAACUGAAAUGAAUAAGUUCCCAACAAAAUACUAGUUUAAUUUGACCAUUUUUCUGGUAAAUUUUUAACUCGGAAAUAUACUCAAACCGAUUGCGUCGAGUUCAACUCAACUAUUACAAAACGAGUUUACUUGGACCAAUUUUAGGCAAACUUUCAACUCGAUGAGGUACUUCAACAGAUUAGGGUGAAUUUGACUCAGCUUCUUCUGCCAGGUGCUAGAGACUUAGACCAUGUUUAUUGCGGAGUUCUUAGAAUGAAGUUCUUAGCGUAAUAUAAGAACCGUUUCUUAACUUUAACUAAGGAAAACUAACAACCGUCUCUUAAAACUCUUAUUUAAAAGCUCGUUCUUAGUUUUUCUUAGUUAAAAGUUAAGAGACGAUUCUUAUAUUAUGGUAAGAAAUACACCCUAAGAACUCCCCAAUAAACAUGCCCUUCGAUUUGCCGAGAUGCUCCAGCCAAUUAAGAUAAGUUUGAAUUGGGUUCUUUAAAGAGGUGCUCGAAACAACUAAAUUGCAACUCCGUAAGGUGCUCCAACCAAUUAAGCUAAAUUGGAUUCAGCUUCUUCAGUGAGGUGCUUGAACCAACUAAAGUGACUUCAACUCGAGAAGGUGCUCCGACCACUCAAGUGAGUUCAUCUCAGCUUAUGCAUGUAGAUAUACAUAUAUAUACAUACAUAUUUGUAUAGUUGCAUCUGUGAAAGCUGUCUACAUACUUCUAAAGAGGAUCAAGUCAUUCGUAAUUUAUUUUUUGGCGCUAAAAGCAUUUUCACAUGAAGUUUUUCUUAAGAUUCAUUAAAUACUAGAAUCACGACACUGGUCCACCUGAAGAUGUCUCAGAUUUAUAGAUGUUUGGUUUGACAACUUAGUGAUCUCGUAGGGUCAUUCCCAAUUUAUACCAAGUUUACCACAUUCUAAUCAACACAAUAAUAGCACAAGGUUCUCUCCUGGUGUUGACACAUCAGACUUUUAGAGUCUUGAGAGUCUUACAUGUCAUUAAUUGAAAAAACUUGAAGAACCAAUCAACUUAUUUCGUUUCUACACGUCAUUUGUCUACUGUUUCGUUUUUGUUUGUGUUAACCAUUUUCGAUGUUUUAGGUUAGGGUUCGCAAAAAGAGAAGUGAUAGAGAGUUAAAUCCAAGUCAUGACCCGAGGUUCUUCUUCUUCUUCAUCUGUGUAUCACGAAGCUAUAGCCCUAGCCCAUAUUCUUCUUCGUCUUUCUCCCAGGGAGGUUUCCAUGAAGCCUAUGAGGAAUUAUGAUUAAUGAAUGGAAGAAGGGAAAGUCCCACAUCGGGGAGAACUGGAACAAAUGAGGAGUAUAUAUAUGUACUUACUCUAACUCAUGUUCAAAUGGCGCACAUGAGAGGAUAGGCUCGCCCCCCACACGCGCGCCGCCGCCGCCGUCCGUCCGGCCGGCUCGGCUCGGCGUGGGCGUGGGCUUGGGCUUGGGCGGAGGGCCUUUGGCCCGAUAAGAAGUAUUCUUUUUGGACCAAGUUAAGCUCAACGGUUUGCCAUUUAUUUCGAGAAAAAACAGCAUACAAUUUUAUUUAAAACGACAAGUAGUUUGUCUA